rnacentral:rRNA from 1 species
GACGAACGCUGGCGGCGUGCUUAACACAUGCAAGUCGAACGGAAAGGCCCUGCUUUUGUGGGGUGCUCGAGUGGCGAACGGGUGAGUAACACGUGAGUAACCUGCCCUUGACUUUGGGAUAACUUCAGGAAACUGGGGCUAAUACCGGAUAGGAGCUCCUGCUGCAUGGUGGGGGUUGGAAAGUUUCGGCGGUUGGGGAUGGACUCGCGGCUUAUCAGCUUGCUGGUGGGGUAGUGGCUUACCAAGGCUUUGACGGGUAGCCGGCCUGAGAGGGUGACCGGCCACAUUGGGACUGAGAUACGGCCCAGACUCCUACGGGAGGCAGCAGUGGGGAAUAUUGCACAAUGGGCGGAAGCCUGAUGCAGCAACGCCGCGUGCGGGAUGACGGCCUUCGGGUUGUAAACCGCUUUCGCCUGUGACGAAGCGUGAGUGACGGUAAUGGGUAAAGAAGCACCGGCUAACUACGUGCCAGCAGCCGCGGUGAUACGUAGGGUGUGAGCGUUGUCCGGAUUUAUUGGGCGUAAAGGGCUCGUAGGUGGUUGAUCGCGUCGGAAGUGUAAUCUUGGGGCUUAACCCUGAGCGUGCUUUCGAUACGGGUUGACUUGAGGAAGGUAGGGGAGAAUGGAAUUCCUGGUGGAGCGGUGGAAUGCGCAGAUAUCAGGAGGAACACCAGUGGCGAAGGCGGUUCUCUGGGCCUUUCCUGACGCUGAGGAGCGAAAGCGUGGGGAGCGAACAGGCUUAGAUACCCUGGUAGUCCACGCUGUAAACGGUGGGUACUAGGUGUGGGGUCCAUUCCACGGGUUCCGUGCCGUAGCUAACGCUUUAAGUACCCCGCCUGGGGAGUACGGCCGCAAGGCUAAAACUCAAAGGAAUUGACGGGGCCUCGCACAAGCGGCGGAGCAUGCGGAUUAAUCCGAUGCAACGCGUAGAACCUUACCUGGGUUUGACAUGGAUCGGGAGCGCUCAGAGAUGGGUGUGCCUCUUUUGGGGUCGGUUCACAGGUGGUGCAUGGCUGUCGUCAGCUCGUGUCGUGAGAUGUUGGGUUAAGUCCCGCAACGAGCGCAACCCUUGUUCACUGUUGCCAGCACGUUAUGGUGGGGACUCAGUGGAGACCGCCGGGGUCAACUCGGAGGAAGGUGGGGAUGACGUCAAGUCAUCAUGCCCCUUAUGUCCAGGGCUUCACGCAUGCUACAAUGGCUGGUACAGAGAGUGGCGAGCCUGUGAGGGUGAGCGAAUCUCGGAAAGCCGGUCUCAGUUCGGAUUGGGGUCUGCAACUCGACCUCAUGAAGUCGGAGUCGCUAGUAAUCGCAGAUCAGCAACGCUGCGGUGAAUACGUUCCCGGGGCU